AGUGAACGCUGGCGGUAGGCCUAACACAUGCAAGUCGAACGGCAGCACAGUAAGAGCUUGCUCUUACGGGUGGCGAGUGGCGGACGGGUGAGGAAUACAUCGGAAUCUACUUUUUCGUGGGGGAUAACGUAGGGAAACUUACGCUAAUACCGCAUACGACCUACGGGUGAAAGCAGGGGAUCUUCGGACCUUGCGCGAUUGAAUGAGCCGAUGUCGGAUUAGCUAGUUUGCGGGGUAAAGGCCCACCAAGGCGACGAUCCGUAGCUGGUCUGAGAGGAUGAUCGGCCACACUAGAACUGAGACACGGUCCAGACUCCUACGGGAGGCAGCAGUGGGGAAUAUUGGACAAUGGGCGCAAGCCUGAUCCAGCCAUACCGCGUGGGUGAAGAAGGCCUUCGGGUUGUAAAGCCCUUUUGUUGGGAAAGAAAAGCAGCAGGUUAAUACCCCGCUGUUCUGACGGUACCCAAAGAAUAAGCACCGGCUAACUUCGUG
rnacentral:rRNA from 1 species